CGGGCUCGUCACAGAGAGUUGACUGGAAAGCCAUUUGGAUCUCUGCAUGCUGGUAAUAACUUUGGGCAAAAGCGUAAUAAACAGAACUUGAAAUCCUGCAGCAAGGCUAAUGCUCUGUCUCUGGAGAAGAAAUAACCCCAUGGUUUAUUGAAAGGUGUGCAUGGAGAUGCCCAUGAGAACAUGCCCCCGAAAGUCUCAGCUGCCUUGGAAAUGUCACAGUACAAGUCUGAGCAUCCCAUGCAAUGUUCCCUGUUGGGAAAAAGAAAUAGCCUAGGACGUAUCACAAGAUCACAGGUGGUCUUUCCUGAUGGGAGGCAGUGAGCGCUAAGAGUGCUGCAAGCAUUACACACAUUCAAAUGGAGCUGUCUUUGAGAUAGAUAGGAGUCUGCAAGCUCAUUUCUUUUGGAAAAUAAUGGAUCGAGGGCCAGAACAG